rnacentral:rRNA from 1 species
GACGAACGCUGGCGGCGUGCUUAACACAUGCAAGUCGAGCGGAAAGGCCCUUCGUGGUACUCGAGCGGCGAACGGGUGAGUAACACGUGAGUAACCUUCCCCAGACUCUGGGAUAACCCUCGGAAACGGGGGCUAAUACCGGAUACGACACAGCUUUGCAUGGGGUCUGUGUGGAAAGUUUGUCGGUUUGGGAUGGUCUCGCGACCUAUCAGCUUGUUGGUGGGGUGAUGGCCUACCAAGGCGACGACCGGUACCCGACCUGAGAGGGCGACCGGCCACACUGGGACUGAGCCACGGCCCAGACUACUACGGGAGGCAACAGUGGAGAAUAUUGCACAAUGGGCGGAAGCCAGAUGCAGCGACGCAGGGUGAGGGAUGAGGGCCUUAGGGGUGUAAACCUCUUUCAGCAGGGACGAAGCGAAAGUGACGGUACCUGCAGAAGAAGCGCAGGCCAACUACGUG